AUUGACCGCUGGCGGCAGGCCUAACACAUGCAAGUCGAACGAGUGGCGGACGGGUGAGUACUGUCUGGGAAACUGCCUGAUGGAGGGGGAUAACUACUGGACACGGUAGCUAAUACCGCAUCCCAUCGGAUGUGCCCAGAUGGGAUUAGCUAGUAGGUGGGGUAACGGCUCACCUAGGCGACGAUCCCUAGCUGGUAUGAGCGCAUGACCAGCCACACUGGAACUGAGACACGGUCCAGACUCCUACGGGAGGCAGCAGGGGGGAAUAUUGCACAACGGGGGCAAGCCUGAUACAGCCAUGCCGCGUGUAUGGAGAAGGCCUUCGGGGGGUAAAGUACUUUCAGCGGGGAGGCGUUACCCGCAGAAGAAGCACCGGCUAACUCCGUGCCAGCAGCCGCGGUAAUUC
rnacentral:rRNA from 1 species